GACGAACGCUGGCGGCGUGCCUAAUACAUGCAAGUAGAACGCACAGUUUAUACCGUAGCUUGCUACACCAUAAACUGUGAGUUGCGAACGGGUGAGUAACGCGUAUGUAACCUGCCUGGUAGCGGGGGAUAACUAUUGGAAACGAUAGCUAAUACCGCAUAAUAUUGAUUAUUGCAUGAUAAUUGAUUGAAAGAUGCUAUUGCAUCACUACUAGAUGGACCUGCGUUGUAUUAGCUAGUAGGUGAGGUAACGGCUCACCUAGGCGACGAUACAUAGCCGACCUGGGAGGGUGAUCGGCCACACUGGGACUGGGACACGGCCCAGACUCCUACGGGAGGCAGCAGUAGGGAAUCUUCGGCAAUGGACGAAAGUCUGACCGAGCAACGCCGCGUGAGUGAAGAAGGUUUUCGGAUCGUAAAGCUCUGUUGUAAGAGAAGAACGGGUGUGAGAGUGGAAAGUUCACACUGUGACGGUAUCUUACCAGAAAGGGACGGCUAACUACGUG
rnacentral:rRNA from 1 species